CGUGUAGGCGGCCUGUCAAGUCAGAUGUGAAAGCCCUGGGCUUAACUCAGGAAGUGCGUCUGAAACUGGCGGGCUUGAGUACGGGAGAGGAGAGCGGAAUUCCUAGUGUAGAGGUGAAAUUCGUAGAUAUUAGGAAGAACACCGGUGGCGAAGGCGGCUCUCUGGACCGAUACUGACGCUGAGACGCAAAAGCGUGGGGAGCAAACAGGAUUAGAUACCCUGGUAGUCCACGCCGUAAACGAUGGGAACUAGGUGUAGGGGGUGUUGACCCCCCCUGUGCCGCAGCAAACGCAUUAAGUUCCCCGCCUGGGGAGUACGGUCGCAAGAUUAAA
rnacentral:rRNA from 1 species